rnacentral:lncRNA from 1 species
AGGUAUCACUAGUGCUAUAUGCAUUGCAUAUCAUAGCUAAAUUGCCAGGCUUCACUCUCUCAGCCGGAUAAAGUGAGGUGUUGCUGGGUUAGACUUGGAAUCCAAACACAAGUUUAUUUGUAAAUCAGCAUAUAUAAGAAUAUGCAGCUAGUUUGUUGAUUGAAGAUGACAUGUAAUAGAGUUACUUGCCAAAUAGUGCCCCCUCUUCUUUAUGCUCAGUAUAACGUGCUUAUGCCAUGCUUCUAUUUCUUUGGACUUGAAGGUCCUCCAUCCACAGUCCAUGAGGCCAGCUAGGGAGGGUGAUAUUCCUGUGCGAGUUAAGAACUCGUACAAUCCAAAAGCUCCAGGAACCCUGAUUACUCGAGCAAGAGAUAUGAGUCAGGUUUGCAGCAUAAUGAUGUUGACAAACAAAACAUUGUUAAUGGAAUGGUCAAAAAGCUUACAUCUAUUCUUCUCCAUUUACAGGCGGUACUUACUAGCAUUGUCUUGAAACGGAAUGUAACAAUGUUGGAUAUUGUCAGCACCCGAAUGCUUGGUCAAUUUGGGUUUCUUGCGAAGGUGAGGCGCACAUGCUGCUUGCUUUUGCCUGGUUUGACAAGUAUUCCAAUUCUAAUGAAAUUUCCAUCUGUUCAGGUGUUUUCAAUCUUUGAAGAAUUAGGAAUAUCUGUGGAUGUUGUUGCAACUAGUGAAGUUAGUAUUUCCUUGACGUUGGAUCCUUCCAAGCUUUGGAGCAGAGAAUUGAUCCAGCAGGCAAGCGUAUGAAAUGGGGCAGGGCUUUUUUUAUUACCAAGGAUUUGUAUAAGCUUGAAAAAUAUUCCAUCAAUUUAUCGUUUCACUUUCACUUUGAAUUUUAGCUGUGGGCACGAGUCUUUCGUUUGCUCCACUAGAUGUCUUACCUUGUUUCUCACUUGUUGAGCAGGAACUAGAUCAUGUUGUGGAAGAACUCGAAAAAAUUGCAGUUGUGAAUCUUCUACAGCACCGAUCAAUCAUCUCUCUCAUAGGAAAUGUUCAGAGGUCAUCGCUAAUAGUAGAAAAGGUGCUA